GUAUGGGAUGAGCUUGCGUCCGAUUAGCUAGUUGGCGGGGCAACGGCCCACCAAGGCGACGAUCGGUAGCCGGCCUGAGAGGGUGAUCGGCCACAUUGGGACUGAGAUACGGCCCAGACUCCUACGGGAGGCAGCAGUAGGGAAUAUUGCACAAUGGGGGAAACCCUGAUGCAGCAACGCCACGUGUGGGAAGAAGCAUUUCGGCGUGUAAACCACUGUCGUGAGGGAAUAAGGCUGAGUUUCGGCUCAGUUGAAUGUACCUCGAGAGGAAGCACCGGCAAACUUCGUGCCAGCAGCCGCGGUAAUACGAGGGGUGCAAGCGUUGUUCGGAAUCACUGGGCGUAAAGGGAGCGCAGGCGGAAGCUCAAGCGGAUUGUACAAUACCGGGGCCCAACCCCGGACCUGCAGUCCGAACUGGGUUUCUUGGAUAGUUCAGGGGCAGGC
rnacentral:rRNA from 1 species